rnacentral:rRNA from 1 species
CAGCCGCCGCGGUAAUACGUAGGUGGCAAGCGUUGUCCGGAAUUAUUGGGCGUAAAGGGCUCGCAGGCGGUUUCUUAAGUCUGAUGUGAAAGCCCCCGGCUCAACCGGGGAGGGUCAUUGGAAACUGGGAAACUUGAGUGCAGAAGAGGAGAGUGGAAUUCCACGUGUAGCGGUGAAAUGCGUAGAGAUGUGGAGGAACACCAGUGGCGAAGGCGACUCUCUGGUCUGUAACUGACGCUGAGGAGCGAAAGCGUGGGGAGCGAACAGGAUUAGAGACCCCAGUAGUCCCUGUCUCUUAUAU